UACGUAGGGGGCAAGCGUUGUCCGGAUUUAUUGGGCGUAAAGAGCGUGUAGGCGGCCUGAAAGGUCAGCUGUGAAAACUCGAGGCUCAACCUCGAGACGUCGGUUGAAACCAUCUGGCUAGAGUCCGGAAGAGGAGUGUGGAAUUCCCGGUGUAGCGGUGAAAUGCGCAGAUAUCAGGAGGAACACCGGUGGCGAAGGCGGGUCUCUGGGCCGAUACUGACGCUGAGGAGCGAAAGGCAUGGGUAGCGAACAGG
rnacentral:rRNA from 1 species